rnacentral:rRNA from 1 species
ACCGUGAGGUGGAGCCGAACCCCUAAAAGCCGUCCCAGUUCAGAUCGCAGUCUGCAACUCGACUGCGUGAAGUCGGAAUCGCUAGUAAUCGCGGAUCAGCAUGCCGCGGUGAAUACGUUCCCGGGCCUUGUACACACCGCCCGUCACACCAUGAGAGUCGGGAACACCCGAAGUCCGUAGCCUAACCGCAAGGGGGGCGCGGCCGAAGGUGGGUUCGAUAAUUGGGGUGAAGUCGUAACAAGGUACC